rnacentral:rRNA from 1 species
UAGUCCACACCGUAAACGAUGGACACUAGGUGUCGGGAGCUUUACCCUCUCGGUGCCGUAGUUAACGCAUUAAGUGUCUCGCCUGGGGAGUACGGUCGCAAGAUUAAAACUCAAAGAAAUUGACGGGGGCCCGCACAAGCGGUGGAUGAUGUGGUUUAAUUCGAUGCAACGCGAAGAACCUUACCUGGGCUUGACAUCCCGCGCUAUCCUAAGAAAUUAGGAGUCCCUUCGGGGCGCGGUGACAGGUGUUGCAUGGCUGUCGUCAGCUCGUGUCGUGAGAUGUUGGGUUAAGUCCCGCAACGAGCGCAACCCUUGCCAUUAGUUGCCAGCAUUAAGUUGGGCACUCUAGUGGGACCGCUUGCCGAUAAGGCAGAGGAAGGAGGGGAUGACGUCAAGUCCGCAUGGCCCUUACGCCCAGGGGCUACACACGUCCUACAAUGGCCGGGUACAAAGGGGUAGCUAAGCCGUAAGGUGGAGCUAAUCCC